rnacentral:lncRNA from 1 species
AUGCAAGCUGUUCAGGUAAGUAUUCACAGUAUUCUGAUUUCUAAAUUAAAUAGAUAUGGAUUGGACAAUAUUGCCCUGAACUGGUUUAAAAAUUAUCUAUCUAACAGACAACAAUAUGUGUCGCUUAAUGGCUAUUCUUCUACCAAGUCAAGAAUCAUACAUGGGGUGCCACAGGGUUCAAUACUGGGCCCUUUAUUAUUUUUGAUUUAUAUAAACGAUUUAGCCAUGUCUUGUAAACAUCUUUUUCCUGUAUUAUUUGCUGAUGACACUAAUCUCAUAGCAACUCAUAAUGACUUUAAUCAUUUGAUUAACUGUGUAAAUGAUGAAUUAUUAUCAAUUGCCAAAUGGUUUCAAAUGAAUAAAUUAACACUUAACGUGAAGAAAUGUAACUUUGUGAUCUUUUGCAACAUAAACAAGUCUUACCCUAAAGAACAAGCUAAAGUUUUCAUUAAUGGAUCAGAAAUUAUGCAAGUAAAAGCUUCCAAAUUUUUGGGAAUCUUAGUUGAUGAAAGACUUAACUGGUCAAAUCAUAUAGACUUGGUUUGCAAAAGAUCCACGAAGAUGAUGGGCAUAUUAAGAAAAGUGUGUCCUCUAAUUCAUCCUUCUGCUCAUUUAACGUUAUAUUAUAGCUUUUUGUUUCCUUAUUUGAACUACUGUAAUCUGGUCUGGGCGGCUUCAUAUCCCAACCAUCUCAAAAAAUUAUGUAUCAUUCAGAAGCGAUUCUUAAGAUUCAUCUCACAUUCAAACAGAUAUGCUCCAUCAGCACCACUUUUCAUAAAUUAUUCUAUUUUGCCAAUUCACAAAUUAAAUAUCUAUCAGAUAUGUUUAUUCAUUCACAAGUUUAUUUACAGAAACCAAGAUCUCCCUGAAAGCUUUCAGUCUUUAUUUACUCACUCAUUUAACGUACAUUCACAUCGCACUAGACACAGCAAUAAUAACAACCUAUCUUUACCCUUCUCCCGCACAUCACAUCAUCAAUUUAGUAUGUCGUAUAGAGGCCCUGCAUUAUGGAAUGUACUACCUCCCUUAUUUAGAUCCUUAUCAUCCUACUCACUCUUCAAAAAGCAGCUUAAAAAACAUAUUAUCUUUUCAUGA